CUUAAAAACAAGCGUCAUCCUGGGAUAAAUCCUGGAGCAGAUGGGGGUCAUUGUCAUAUAGCAGCAUUUUUAUACACAUUGGAAGAAAUGUAUUCAUUUUGUACUCUGCAUUUUUCAAGUUCUUGUGAAUUCUUAUUUCUGUUAAUGUUUUGCAAAAUCCAACUAAACACCUGAUAUAUGGGACAGCCAACAGCUAGGUGUUAAUUCAACUGCUCUGCAACUAUGACUUAGAGGUGGCGAAGCAUCCUGGGUUUUGGAGAUACUAGCUAGCCAGAUUGGCAGAGUUUACUUCAUUGUGCAGCAAAUUACAUUUCAUUAUGGUCCCCGGGCAACAUGUAUCCACAAAGAAGGAAGGGAAUUGUGAAAAUGAAUUACCAUAUGAGACACGUCCAUAUCGUAAUGAGUUUGUUAGAAAUUCCAAGAAGUAAUUUUAAUAAAACGUCCUUCUUUCCUUGCAGCUGGCUGUGUAGUCCGCUUAUCAUUAAAAUCUGAUGUAGGCGCACAGUAUGACGCACAGUAUCAUUCUUGGAGAUAACUUGGAAGAUUCUAAGAACUUGAACAUCAAAUAGAGCAGAGAUUCCAAUGUCACACGUGUUAUGGGUUUGGUUCCAUAUGGCAAAUGUGACGUCCCAUGUGUUGAGCAGAGAUGUAGAUAGAAAAAUCUAAACAAGGGCGAGGGAACAUCUUAAUGGCAUCCGGAACGCAGAAAAUGCUAAACUAGUAGCAAAACGCUGUCUGCAGCAUUAAUCGUGUUGGAAACAAAUUCAGUGUGUUGAAAAGCGUUUUCCAAUGCCAUUGAUAGUUUUUGUGCCCUUUGUUCGCCAGAAUAGGUUUUCCCAAAUCAUUUGCAUUGAUUCCUGAGCAAGCUGACGAAAUUCUGCUGACUGACUUGAAUUUUCACGCCGUACACAAGUCUACUUUGAAUUAUUGACAAUUCUCACUUUAGUAAAUAACUCUGCAAGUCUAAUUGCGAACUUUUCUGGCUUUUUGGAAUUGCGGCAAUGAAAAUGAUUAGUAAAAAGGUCUGAUAUCUCAAAGAAAUAUCUAGACUAGAAAGAGAGAAUAAGACAAAUAAGGAAAGAUAGCUCUACAACUGGAAAGUAAAGGAUCACCGAACCUUAAAGCUGCACUGUCAUGGCUGAAUCCAGGUUUUUUUUUUUUUUUAAAACCCCCUCCCAACUCCACUAAAUCUAAU